UACAGAGGGGGCAAGCGUUGUUCGGAAUUACUGGGCGUAAAGGGCGCGUAGGCGGCCUUCUAAGUCGAACGUGAAAUCCCCCGGGCUCAACCCGGGAACUGCGUCCGAGACUGGAAGGCUUGAAUCCGGGAGAGGGAUGUGGAAUUCCAGGUGUAGCGGUGAAAUGCGUAGAUAUCUGGAGGAACAUCGGUGGCGAAGGCGGCAUCCUGGACCGGUAUUGACGCUGAGGCGCGGAAAGCCAGGGGAG
rnacentral:rRNA from 1 species